CACUAGGUUAUGUUACUGUGCUCCACUAGGUUAUGUUACAGUGCUCCACUAGGUUAUGUUACUGUGCUCCACUAGGUUAUGUUACAGUGCUCCACUAGGUUAUGUUACUGUGCUCCACUAGGUUAUGUUACAGUGCUCCACUAGGUUAUGUUACUGUGCUCCACUAGGUUAUGUUACAGUGCUCCACUAGGUUAUGUUACAGUGCUCCACUAGGUUAUGUUACAGUGCUCCACUAGGUUAUGUUACAGUGCUCCACUAGGUUAUGUUACAGGUCUCCACUAGGUUGUGUUACAGGUAUCCACUAGGUUAUGUUACAGUGCUCCACUAGGUUAUGUUACAGUGCUCCACUAGGUUAUGUUACAGGUCUCCACUAGGUUAUGUUACAGGUAUCCACUAGGUUGUGUUACAGGUAUCCACUAGGUUGUGUUACAGGUCUCCACUAGGUUAUGUUACAGUGCUCCACUAGGUUAUGUUACAGUGCUCCACUAGGUUAUGUUACAGUGCUCCACUAGGUUAUGUUACAGGUAUCCACUAGGUUAUGUUACAGGUCUCCACUAGGUUAUGUUACAGGUCUCCACCAGGUUAUGUUACAGGUCUCCACUAGGUUAUGUUACUGUGCUCCACUAGGUUAUGUUACAGGUCUCCACUAGGUUAUGUUACACGUGUACACUAGGUUAUGUUACACGUCUCCACUAGGUUAUGUUUCUGUGCUCCACUAGGUUAUGUUACACGUCUCCACUAGGUUAUGUUACAGUGCUCCACUAGGUUAUGUACACGUCUCCACUAGGUUAUGUUACAGGUAUCCACUAGGUUAUGUUACACAUCUCCACUAGGUUAUGUUACAGGUCUCCACUAGGUUAUGUUACAGGUCUCCACUAGGUUAUGUUACUGGUCUCCACUAGGUCAUGUUACAGGUCUCCACUAGGUCAUGUUACAGGUCUCCACUAGGUUAUGUUACAGGUCUCCACUAGGUUAUGUUACAUGUCUCCACUAGGUCAUGUUACAGGUCUCCACUAGGUCAUGUUACAGGUCUCCACUAGGUUAUCUUACAGGUCUCCACUAGGUUAUGUUACAGGUCUACACUAGGUUAUGUUACAGGUCUCCGGACAUCAGUUAUUUGUGUCUUUAGAUUAGAACACAGGUCAUGUGGUAUUCUCUGCAGAAUGUGUCGAUAUUAGUUGAGUGCUCUUUGUGUGUGUGUGUCCCGCUCUCUGUGUGUUUUCCCUCCCGU
rnacentral:lncRNA from 1 species